rnacentral:misc_RNA from 1 species
GAUGAAGAACGUAGUGAAACGCGAAAGGUAAUGCGAAUUGCAGAAUCAGUGAGUCAUCGAAUCUUUGAACGCACCUUGCGCCCCUUGGUUAUUCCAAAGGGCAUGCCUGUUUGAGUAUCAUGAACACCUCAACUCUUGUGGUUUCCCACAAUGAGCUUGGACUGUGGAGGUUUUGUUGGCCCUGUGGUCAGCUCCUCUCAAAUGGAUCAGCUUACCGGUGUUUGGUGGCAUUACGGGUGUGAUAACUAUCUACGCUCGUGGUCGUCUCCAAAUAACCUCCAGUGAUGGAGGUUCGCUGGAGCUUAUAAAUGUCUCUCCCCAGUGAAGACAGCCUUUGAACGUUCGAUCUCAAAUCAGGUAGGACUACCCGCUGAACUUAAGCAUAUCAAUAAGCGGAGGA